rnacentral:rRNA from 1 species
GAUGAACGCUGGCGGCGUGCCUAAUACAUGCAAGUCGAGCGAACAGAUAAGGAGCUUGCUCCUUUGACGUUAGCGGCGGACGGGUGAGUAACACGUGGGUAACCUACCUAUAAGACUGGGAUAACUUCGGGAAACCGGAGCUAAUACCGGAUAACAUUUGGAACCGCAUGGUUCUAAAGUGAAAGAUGGUUUUGCUAUCACUUAUAGAUGGACCCGCGCCGUAUUAGCUAGUUGGUAAGGUAACGGCUUACCAAGGCGACGAUACGUAGCCGACCUGAGAGGGUGAUCGGCCACACUGGAACUGAGACGCGGUCCAGACUCCUACGGGGGGCAGCAGUAGGGAAUCUUCCGCAAUGGGCGAAAGCCUGACGGAGCAACGCCGCGUGAGUGAUGAAGGGUUUCGGCUCGUAAAACUCUGUUAUUAGGGAAGAACAAAUGUGUAAGUAACUGUGCACAUCUUGACGGUACCUAAUCAGAAAGCCACGGCUAACUACGUGCCAGCCGCCGCCGUAA